AGAGUUUGAUCCUGGCUCAGGAUGAACGCUGGCGGCGUGCUUAACACAUGCAAGUCGAACGAACCUUCGGGUUAGUGGCGGACGGGUGAGUAACGCGUGAGAAUCUGCCCUCAGGAGGGGGAUAACGACUGGAAACGGUCGCUAAUACCCCAUAUGCCGAGAGGUGAAAUGAAUUUCGCCUGAGGAUGAGCUCGCGUCUGAUUAGCUAGUUGGUGGGGUAAAGGCCUACCAAGGCGACGAUCAGUAGCUGGUCUGAGAGGAUGAUCAGCCACACUGGGACUGAGACACGGCCCAGACUCCUACGGGAGGCAGCAGUGGGGAAUUUUCCGCAAUGGGCGAAAGCCUGACGGAGCAACGCCGCGCGAGGGAUGAAGGCCUCUGGGCUGUAAACCUCUUUUCUCAAGGAAGAAGAUCUGACGGUACUUGAGGAAUAAGCCACGGCUAAUUCCGUGCCAGCAGCCGCGGUAAUACGGGAGUGGCAAGCGUUAUCCGGAAUUAUUGGGCGUAAAGCGUCCGCAGGCGGCCUCGUAAGUCUGUCGUUAAAGCGUGGAGCUUAACUCCAUUUCAGCGAUGGAAACUACAAGGCUUGAGUGUGGUAGGGGCAGAGGGAAUUCCCGGUGUAGCGGUGAAAUGCGUAGAUAUCGGGAAGAACACCAGUGGCGAAGGCGCUCUGCUGGGCCAUAACUGACGCUCAUGGACGAAAGCCAGGGGAGCGAAAGGGAUUAGAUACCCCUGUAGUCCUGGCCGUAAACGAUGAACACUAGGCGUC
rnacentral:rRNA from 1 species